rnacentral:rRNA from 1 species
GAUGAACGCUGGCGGCGUGCUUAACACAUGCAAGUCGAGCGAGAAGUUUUGAAAAGAUUCUUCAGAUGAAAUUUAAAAUGGAAAGCGGCGGACGGGUGAGUAACGCGUAGGCAACCUGCCCCAUACAAAGGGAUAGCAUUUGGAAACGAAUAUUAAUACCUUAUGAAACUUAACUAGUGCAUGCUAGGUAGGUCAAAGAUUUAUCGGUAUGGGAUGGGCCUGCGUCUGAUUAGCUAGUUGGUGAGGUAACGGCUCACCAAGGCGACGAUCAGUAGCCGACCUGCGAGGGUGAACGGCCACAUUGGAACUGAGACACGGUCCAAACUCCUACGGGAGGCAGCAGUGGGGAAUAUUGCACAAUGGGGGAAACCCUGAUGCAGCAACGCCGCGUGAACGAUGAAGGCCUUUGGGUCGUAAAGUUCUGUUCUAGGUGAUGAAAACUGACAGUAACCUAGGAGAAAGCCCCGGCUAACUCCGUG